ACGCUCGACACCUACGGUAGGCAGCAGUGGGGAAUAUUGCACAAUGGGGGAAACCCUGAUGCAGCGACGCCGCGUGGAGGAAGAAGGUCUUCGGAUUGUAAACUCCUGUUGUUGGGGAAAAAGAGGAUGGUACCCAACAAGGAAGUGACGGCUAACUACGUGCCGGCAGCCGCGGUAAUCUGAGCGGGCUGGCAAGGC
rnacentral:rRNA from 1 species